rnacentral:tRNA from 1 species
GGGUCCGUGCCCGAGCGUUUAGGGGCCACCUUGAUAGGGUGCAAUACAGGGGUUGAAUUCCCCUCGGGCCCU